GGGCUCAUAGUAAAGUGGUAUUACACGGCAUUCGCAUUGCCGAGUCCUGGGUUCAACUCCCAGUGAGUCCA
rnacentral:tRNA from 2 species